GAUGAACGCUAGCGGGAGGCUUAAUACAUGCAAGUCGAGCGGUAAUUUAGGAAUAGCAAUAUUUCUGAGCUAGAGCGGCGCACGGGUGAGUAACGCGUACACGACCUGCCCUUUACUGGGGGAUAGCCUUGGGAAACUGAGAUUAAUACCCCAUGGUAUUAUUAUGCUGCAUGGUAUAAUAAUUAAAGCUGAGGCGGUAAAGGAUGGGUGUGCGUCUGAUUAGCUAGUUGGUAGGGUAACGGGCCUACCAAGGCGAUGAUCAGUAGGGGGCGUGAGAGCGUGACCCCCCACACGGGUACUGAGACACGGACCCGACUCCUACGGGAGGCAGCAGUAAGGAAUAUUGGUCAAUGGAGGGAACUCUGAACCAGCCAUCCCGCGUGCAGGAU
rnacentral:rRNA from 1 species